rnacentral:rRNA from 1 species
UACGUAGGGUGCGAGCGUUGUCCGGAAUUACUGGGCGUAAAGAGCUCGUAGGUGGUUUGUCGCGUUGUUCGUGAAAACUCACAGCUUAACUGUGGGCGUGCGGGCGAUACGGGCAGACUGGAGUACUGCAGGGGAGACUGGAAUUCCUGGUGUAGCGGUGGAAUGCGCAGAUAUCAGGAGGAACACCGGUGGCGAAGGCGGGUCUCUGGGCAGUAACUGACGCUGAGGAGCGAAAGCGUGGGGAGCGAACAGA